rnacentral:snRNA from 1 species
GUUCUCACUUCGGCAGCCCAUAUACUAAAAUUGGAACGAUACAGAGAAGAUUAGCAUGGCCCCUGUGCAAGGAUGACAUGCAAAUUCAUGAAGCGUUUCAUAUUUUU